UGUAACUCAUUCAUUCCUUUGGUAAUUAUCAUGGGCCAACAUAAACAUGGCCACAACUCGUAAUGUACAAUUGUAAGUGGGCAAAUGUUAUAUCAAUGAACCAUCGUUCAUAAAAUAUGGAUACAUACGGGCCAUCAAGGCCUCUGACAUACUGUACAUAAUAAAUAUGUGUCUAUAAAGUCUCUAAGAUUAUUUGGCAUAAAAUGGGAUAGGGUACCGGCCUACCCAUAAGUCUGUAGCAAAAAUUCUGACACGAUAACUCAUAAAACUUGGCUGCACUCCGAAUGAGAGGGAGUCUUACCGAUCUUUGGCUGAACACAGACCGCGUCUAUUGCGAGGGUUCGUCAAUCUGAUUAUCUAUACCUGCAGGCAUGAAUGCAGUGUCCCCAACAACAGGACGUCAGUACGAAUAAUGUAUUGACUAUGUAAGGAAUAACUGAAACAUAACAGUAAGUUAACAUUUAUUUAAGGACAUGAAAGAAAUAUAAAGUAAAUGACUCAACCUGCAAAUCUGAAUAGCUUUGUAAAUCAUGAAAUAUUUAUAGUAUCAUGCAUAUGCGUAUAAAUAUCAUGUAAUGCAUAGGUCUAUAUGUACAUAACAUCAUAAAGCCUUUGAGGGCAUCCCAUUAUAUAAUCUCAGCCACUGNNNNNNNNNNNNNNNNNNNNNAUCACAUAUACAUAUAUAUAUACUUAUAUAUAUGUGUAUAUAAUGCCAUAACAUCAUCACGCCUCUGAGGGCGUCCCAUCAUAUCAUCUCGGUCACUGUGGGCAAAUCAUCAAUGUAUACCAGCUGAUCAGGUGAUGAUGCGUAUAUAACGCCAUAAUCUCUUUCCCAUAUUCCAUAUACAUAUAUAUAUAUACGUGUAUAUAACGCCGUCUGAGUCAUGGGUAAAUGCACAUGUGAAUGAAUGCAAUGCAUGAGCAGUACGUUAAUAAAAUCUUUUGGAAUGUCAUAAGACCAUUAUGUCUUGAGUAGUAUCAUGAAGUAAACUCCCUUUUUUCAACUUACAUAUUUUUCUGAGACCCAUGAACAUAUGAUUAAAUAAUAGGACAUAGGGGAAUUCAAAAACUUAGGCACCUCUAAUACUUCUUAUGAAUAGUGUCAUUUAUGGAAGCUAUACAUUUUCUCGUUUCGAUUGUAUCAUAUGGAUCAUGCCAAAAGAAAGAAGGGAUAGUCUUAACAUGCCUGACUUAAGAUAUUUUUCGUCAGAACCGUUAUGUUGAUAGGUGGUCGUGGAGUUAGCAACUACGAAGCAGCAGAACACGGCAAGGAUUGGACAAUGGCUUUGCUAUGACCAUGUACUUUCACCAUAUUCAUAAACAAUUUAACAUGUGAUAUGGUGAGGGUAUGAAUAUUGUCUAUCAGCAUCACCAGGAAACUAUUCUGAUGUCAAUCACAAGAUAACAUGCAUUUUAUAAAUUAAUCCAAGGAAGAGAAAGGAAAAUUUGAGAGGUUGAAGGGCAAAAUAGCCAGAAUGCUCUAGCAGUAAGGAUAUACUUCUAGUAGAUGCAAAUGCAUCCUACAGACCAUAUGUAUAUAUUUUAAAUUACUUUGAUAAAGGAGUCCUAACCUUUAGUGCGGCAAAGUUCAUCCUAGUAUUGCCUUAUUUAUCAACCGAAUGAAAUUUUAUCCAUGCAUUCACUUUAUGGUGCAAUUAUUUUCAGGUAGUGGUUACCAUAAAACCUACUCACCAAAUAAAAUAGAAUGUCCUACUUAAGUCCAUGAAUAAGGUAAAGUUUGCGAGAACAACAAAAUAAAUGUUUGGCAACCAUUUAGGAUAUGCACCCCAAUUGGACCUUCAUUUUACAUCUUACCAUUGGGAGGUCCUUUUUAUAGGAAAAUUCUUGGCUCUCUCCAGAGACAUCAUAAGAGAAAAAAUGAGGUUCAGAUAUUGAGAAUAUGACAAGAGAAUGAAGGCAUCGCCAUGACUGCAAGCACCGGUUGCAUGACAGGAAAUCACUCGCCAUUUGGGUUGCCCCACCAAGAUAGGGAUCCCUUCUCGAUUGAGUUGCUCAGAGAAAUACGGGAAAAGACUAUCAUUAUCAUCACAACAUCAUAUUUUUUUUAAUUACAUGUCUAUCUAUCAACUACAUUCACUGAGAAAAGAAAGUGCUUUUUGGAUUGAAAUCACGGGUAUACCUGAGAACCAAAAGUAGCCUUAUGUGAUACCUCAUUCUUUUGUUCACUAGCUUGAGCUGAUAUCGGGAGCACUGUUCAAAGCACAAGAGGUCACAAGUUGGAUUCCUAAGAAUUUGAGGCUCGGAUACUGCAUUUUUUUGCACGGACAAAGAGAAGGCAACCACCCUUAACUUUAUUUCUUU
rnacentral:lncRNA from 1 species